GGUCUGGUGGCCAUAGCCUGAGCGAAACACCCGAUCCCAUCCCGAACUCGGCCGUUAAGCGCCCAGACGCCAAUGGUACUGCGCCUCAAGACGCGGGAGAGUAGGUCACCGCCAGACCUG
rnacentral:rRNA from 1 species